GCGGUUGUGGCGGAAUUGGCAGACGCGCUAUCUUCAGGCGGUAGUGGAUUUAUCCGUGAGAGUUCAAGUCUCUCCAACCGCA
rnacentral:tRNA from 1 species